AGCGAACGCUGGCGGCAGGCCUAACACAUGCAAGUCGAACGGAUCCUUCGGGAUUAGUGGCGGACGGGUGAGUAACACGUGGGAACGUGCCCUUUGGUUCGGAACAACUCAGGGAAACUUGAGCUAAUACCGGAUGUGCCCUUCGGGGGAAAGAUUUAUCGCCAUUGGAGCGGCCCGCGUCUGAUUAGCUAGUUGGUGAGGUAACGGCCCACCAAGGCGACGAUCAGUAGUUGGUCUGAGAGGAUGAUCAGCCACACUGGGACUGAGACACGGCCCAGACUCCUACGGGAGGCAGCAGUGGGGAAUCUUGCGCAAUGGGCGAAAGCCUGACGCAGCCAUGCCGCGUGAAUGAUGAAGGUCUUAGGAUUGUAAAAUUCUUUCAGCGGGGACGAUAAUGACGGUACCCGCAGAAGAAGCUCCGGCUAACUUCGUG
rnacentral:rRNA from 1 species